rnacentral:rRNA from 1 species
AUUGAACGCUGGCGGCAUGCCUUACACAUGCAAGUCGAACGGCAGCGGACCUUCGGGUGCCGGCGAGUGGCGAACGGGUGAGUAAAGUAUCGGAACGUACCUUUCAGUGGGGGAUAACUGUCCGAAAGGACAGCUAGUACCGCAUAUUCUGUGAGCAGGAAAGCAGGGGAUCGCAAGACCUUGCGCUGAUUGAGCGGCCGAUAUCAGAUUAGCUAGUUGGUGAGGUAAAGGCUCACCAAGGCGACGAUCUGUAGCGGGUCUGAGAGGAUGAUCCGCCACACUGGAACUGAGACACGGUCCAGACUCCUACGGGAGGCAGCAGUGGGGAAUUUUGGACAAUGGGGGCAACCCUGAUCCAGCCAUGCCGCGUGAGUGAAGAAGGCC